GCUUUUAGCCUGGAUUCCCAAGCUGUUUCCUGAAGGAUUUUGUAUUCCAUUAGUGGUCCUUCUGCCGCUCUUCAGUCUAUGUCUUCAAGUGCCUUCAGUAGCAUCAGCAGAUCUGCCCAGCCAGCCAUGCUCCUCCUUCCACAGCCUUUGCAGUGCAACUGAGAUGGAUAAACUCAGCAUUAAUAAUCUUUUCCACCUGAAUCCCUGUACUUCUGUCUGGCCUCCUUUGCUGUCUCAAAUGGUUAUCCAUGCUGGGACCUUCCUGCUUAUCCCCUCAGAUGAUAUUCACUGAGAGCCUUUGAAGGGUACACGAUGAAAUCUCCUCUGAAGUUACACUCUUCCAGCUGGGUUUCCUCUGUCCUCAGGCUUGAGGAAUGCUUCAAAGACCUCAGGAUUUCAUGAAGGAUUACUGCAGUUAUUUCUUCCUUCUUGGGUCUGCCUCACAGUUCUUGCCCGUGUGGCCAGCAGGUUUCUUGGUUGGUAUGAUCCCUACUUCUCCCUGCCUCCAGUGCCCUGGUGCCACGUUCCAUGAGCCAAGCUGUACCUCACAGUUCAAAAAGCACCUGGCUCCUGCUUGGACAUGGCUGCAGAGUUUGCACAGACACCUGGGCCUGGGAGUGUGUCACAGCUCAUUUCAGUGAGGUGGACAUUAUGGAAGUGGGUUCCAGGAACUGACUGUAGUAACUCCACCUAUCUCCAGAAGUAACUGUACUGGCCCUACCCCUGCACUGAGUAUGUAUGAGUUUGCAGUAUAAACGUUUCACCUGAACAAGGUGAGGGUGUGCAAGGGCUUGGGAGGAUGACCUGCCCUUGGCACCCACUGCUGAUUAAACAUUCCUGAUAACAA